UAGGGAAUCUUCCGCAAUGGGCGAAAGCCUGACGGAGCAACGCCGCGUGAGUGAUGAAGGUCUUCGGAUCGUAAAACUCUGUUAUUAGGGAAGAACAAAUGUGUAAGUAACUAUGCACGUCUUGACGGUACCUAAUCAGAAAGCCACGGCUAACUACGUGCCAGCAGCCGCGGUAAUACGUAGGUGGCAAGCGUUAUCCGGAAUUAUUGGGCGUAAAGCGCGCGUAGGCGGUUUUUUAAGUCUGAUGUGAAAGCCCACGGCUCAACCGUGGAGGGUCAUUGGAAACUGGAAAACUUGAGUGCAGAAGAGGAAAGUGGAAUUCCAUGUGUAGCGGUGAAAUGCGCAGAGAUAUGGAGGAACACCAGUGGCGAAGGCGACUUUCUGGUCUGUAACUGACGCUGAUGCGCGAAAGCGUGGGGAUCAAACAGG
rnacentral:rRNA from 1 species